AAAAGAAUUUGUUUAUUUAAAAUGUUCAAGCAUCUACCAUUGAGGGAGUAAAAUCCUUGGUUUAUUUACAAUUUUUUUUAUUUAUUACUUUAGUUCAACUAUUCUUCUAUUAAAAGCCUAUAGCUUUGUAUGGAGGAAAUCUGAAAAGUCCUGUAUACUAAUGCCCUUUCAGAAAUAUCUAUUGUAUGUUUGUAGCGGUGAAGACACGUGUUGUUUCAUUUACUCAUGUCGAACCUAAUUUCUCCUCUCUUUCUCUCAUUGAACCUUCUCAAUUAAAUUCCUUGAUCUUCUUUUCUUUUUUUAUUCCUCCCUUUCUCAUGUACAUUUAGGGACUGUGUUCGUCAUUAUCAAAUAUCAACCUUCCUUUCACAAGGAAAGAUAUGAUAUGGACCUUUGUGCAUGUCUACUCUAAUAAAUGAUUUUGCUCUGUUAAUAAAUGAUUGGGCUUUUAAAUCUACCAAAUUGAACUUUUUUCCCUCAACAUUUUGCAGGCUGAAUACAGAUCCAACAAAUGUAUUACCUGUUUUUUCUUGGAAGCAACAUUUAAAUAUAAACAUCAUCAACAAUGAAGAUGUGAAACUAAAAUUUGCUUACUCUUUUUUGGUGUUUAUGAAGGAGAAAGAACUCAACUUUACAUACAGCAACAUGCAAUUUUUUUCCCAAGUCAUAUAAAACGCAGGUCUUUUAACGUGUCGCACCAACUUUCCUGAACAUUAUGUAUUCAAGCUUUCUGGGCAUAAUUUACUGAUGACUCAAACACUUGGACCCUAAAGUGGUGCAACUUGAAUCAUUUCACUUUGUCUCCGCGAGUAUGAAAAUGAGAGUAUUCACAUGGUGUUCACUUUGUGACUUCACAACGCUCAUCAAAUUUACUUUUCC